GAUGAACGCUGGCGGCGUGCCUAAUACAUGCAAGUCGAGCGAACGGACGAGAAGCUUGCUUCUCUGAUGUUAGCGGCGGACGGGUGAGUAACACGUGGAUAACCUACCUAUAAGACUGGGAUAACUUCGGGAAACCGGAGCUAAUACCGGAUAAUAUUUUGAACCGCAUGGUUCAAAAGUGAAAGACGGUCUUGCUGUCACUUAUAGAUGGAUCCGCGCUGCAUUAGCUAGUUGGUAAGGUAACGGCUUACCAAGGCAACGAUGCAUAGCCGACCUGAGAGGGUGAUCGGCCACACGGGAACUGAGACACGGUCCAGACGCCUAAGGGAGGCAGCAGUAGGGAAUCGUCCGCAAUGGGCGAAAGCCUGACGGAGCAACGCCGCGUGAGUGAUGAAGGUCUUCGGAUCGUAAAACUCUGUUAUUAGGGAAGAACAUAUGUGUAAGUAACUGUGCACAUCUUGACGGUACCUAAUCAGAAAGCCACGGCUAACUACGUG
rnacentral:rRNA from 1 species